rnacentral:lncRNA from 1 species
GAAGACUUUGCUGUAAGGCUUGGCAGCAAACUGCCAAGGAUUCCCGCUCCCUGGCUCCUCCUUCAUGUCUUCGAAUCCCAAAGAGGCAGCAGGAUUUACGGCAGGAUCCUAGGCUUUGGACUUCACUACAGACCUCCAUUCAAGUCUUGGCUCCAUCACUUAUUGCCUGUGAGACCCUGGACGCAGCUAAUUGAUCUCAGCAUUCUUGUCUGUUGGGUCUGGAUGUGGCUUCAGGAUCGUUUUCAGUACAGCUAUGGAGAUAGCCAUUACCAAUCAAUCAGAACUGGUACUUGAGACUUCCGUAAUGUGCAUUGGUCACUGACGCUGAUGCCAGUGGAUUGUUCUGUGAGGAAAUCAAGGACAUGCUGUUCUGCAUCAGGGUGGAG